rnacentral:rRNA from 1 species
CCUACGGGUGGCAGCAGUGAGGAAUAUUGGUCAAUGGGCGCGAGCCUGAACCAGCCAAGCCGCGUGAGGGAUGACGGUCCUACGGAUUGUAAACCUCUUUUGCCGGGGAGCAAGCGUGCGUUCGUGAACGCGCGUCGAGAGUACCCGGAGAAAAAGCAUCGGCUAACUCCGUGCCAGCAGCCGCGGUAAUACGGAGGAUGCGAGCGUUAUACGGAUUUAUUGGGUUUAAAGGGUGCGUAGGCGGGAUGCCAAGUCAGCGGUCAAAUUGCGGUGCUAAAAGCCGGCGAGCCGUUGAAACUGGCGAUCUAGAGUGGGAGAGAAGUAUGCGGAAUGCGAGGUGUAGCGGUGAAAUGCAUAGAGAGCACGAAGAACACCGAUUGCGAAGGCAGCAUACCGGCGCCCUACUGACGCUGAGGCACGAAAGCGUGGGGAGCGAACAGGAUUAGAUACCCUUGUAGUC